GUACUCAUAUAUUAGCAACACAUAUACUAAAAUUGGAACAACACAUAAAAACUUAGCAGGGCAUCUGCUGAAUGCCUGAUGAGCAAAUUUGUGAAGUGUUCCAUAUAUUU